UUUGCGAAAUAUUUGUUUUUAUGCCUACAAAUAAAUAAUUUAUUAGUUCACACCGUUGGUUCGCUAUUCGCCGUUCGUUUGCUUCAUGCGUUGCAAUUAAAAGUUGUCGAAAUUCCAGUCACGUAACAAUUUAAAUUCGUUUUAACAGUAACGCGUAAGGCGUAGAAGGAAUUGCAUGGCAGGGCAUACGAAUGGAGUCGAGACUAUGAAUGCAUAAAAGUACAUCAUUUUUUCUGUGUCCUCUUGGUGGCCACUACACUCUGUCUGGUCGAGAAAGACAUACAGACCAAAUAUAUUGAGUCAGCGCCAGAUAACUCCAGUUAAUUAUUGCACAAUUCAACUUCGGAUCCUUGGCACGGUGUCAGACGACUCUUCGAAAAAUAUCAAAGUUGUGUACUCACUCAAUAUGCGCUUUCCGCUCACCAAAUAGGACAGAACUUGUUUUCUUUACGGUCCCAACUAUAAAACCAAGUAGUAUGAAUGAUGCUCAUGGAAGCCUGAGAACCAAAACCAACUUUUUAAAUAUAAUUCUGGAGGUAAGAUGAAACUUAAGCAAUAACAUAGAUAGCUCAAUGCCACUAGAAUGUUAUGUAGAUGAUAUAUAAAGAGCAUAAAACAGAGUGUCUGUUCUUAGGAAAGACCUUCAUAAGGAAGCACUAACCGCUGUGAUUCAAUAUCGGUGACCCACAAAAGGCUCAAGACACAAAACUCCCUAACAAAUUUUAAAAGAUCUAUAAAGUUUAUGCUCCAAACGGUAUGACGAACGAAAGAUGUUUGAAGCUUGAAUAGAGAGGAAAGUUGGGUGUGUUUUCUCGCAAAACCCAUUGCUAUUAUGGAGUCCGCAGAGUAUGGUGAAGCAGAACUAAGCCAUGGGAAUAUCUUCAUCCCUAGUAAUAUUGACAAAUAAUUUCGACAACAGGAAUUUCGGCUUUAGCGUGAAGUUUGACCUGAAUGAGGCACAAAAGUAUGUGCGAAAGAAUGACCGAAAUCAUGUUGCCAUUGAGGCUCAACUCGCUAAGCUUAGACUAUGAAUGAGGUGGAUUUUGUGGGGGAUUAUGAGUAAGCCGGCAGCCGUAGCAAAAUUUACAACAACGAAGACACUAACAAGUGGCAAAACAAAGUAAAUGGCGAGAACACGAAAAAAUUAUUUACACACAAGCAUAUGUAUACUCGUAUAUGUAUACAGACGUAAUUAUGUCUUCAUAUUUAGUGACGAGGAAGGAAGCAACUGGGAUGUACAAGGUGUGGAAGGAUGCGGAAGGGGUAAACUUUUAGGCACGUAAAGUAGGCGGUGACGCGUCAUUUUCUCACUAAUUGUUUUGGGUAAGUGGAAAGAAAAGGUGAAAAUAAAUUACUAUAUUAAUCUCAUGUAAAUACAUAUGUAGAUAUGUAUGUACGCAGAGAUAUUAACAUAUACGCCUCAUGUAUAGAGCAUGCAGUAGAAAAUAUAAUAAUAUGUAAUUAGUCACCCAUUUCCCAAACAAAAUCAUUUUGCACGCGUGUUUAACAGUAAAAUUGGUUAAAAGCAUCGCAUACAGUUGCCAAAAGCUAAGUUCUUAAGGUCAUAAUAAUUUAUUCUAUAUAUAAUUAGCGCUUAUGAAGGUUUCAAUACGAUUCAAUAGAAAAAAGUAGUUGCUUUCUGUUAAAAAAAAAAAUAGUAAGUCCGCUUAAGUGCGUCACACAGUCGUCAAAUUUAUGAAUGACGAAGUAAAUUGAAUUAAUGCUAGAAAUUUUAGGUUCUCCAUAUUUUUAAACUGUAUAUAUUACAAAAUAAUUUUUUUAAACGAUUCUAAUUUAAGAGCACUGUUAGGCAAAAUAUAAAUUUUCUAUGAAUAUGGUUUUAAGUAUACAAACUUUGACAAAAUUCCAAAAUAAAAUAAUCAAAAAAAAAAAAAUCCGUUUAUAUGCACUCUGCUUUAUAGCACAUAACCGCUUAAAAACACAUUAAUUGCACUUAUGUCAUCAUUAUUAAAAUUUGUUUAAAAUGUAGAAUAAGCUAAUAAAAAUUAUUUGAGCCACGCUUCGUUUAAGUGCCAUUGGUUUGAACAUUAUACGUAAUUUAAAAUUUUAGUUUUCUGUCAAAUCUUGCUAACUAAUUUCACGUUUCGGACUGAAAUAAUCUUUUGUUGGUGAAUUUAAAAAAUCUGCUUAAAUUCCUUACACUUAAUUGCACAUACAAAGUAAUAAUUAUUAAUAAAUGAUAAAUAUGAGAAUCACUUAAGCGCUUCUAAUAAAUAUGUUUCAAAGCAAAAACCGAAAUGCAAUCUAGAUUUUUGGACUUACGGAAGUGCCACAAAGCAUUCCAUUUAUUUAUUUAUUACACUUUUAUUUCUCUUUUUAAGUACUGUAGCCAAUAUUGGUUAAGAGCGCAAUUUCUUUCAUUAGGCGAGUAUAAUUCCUAAACCUUUUUAUGCUUCAAACUUUCGAAUGCAUUGUUGCUAUUAUUAAAAAGUGUUUUCCAUUAUAUAUAUUACGUUUUAACAAACUUCAUUUAAGCGCACAACUUUUCAUAUAUGCACAAAUAUAUAAAACAACAAAGUCAAGCGCUAUGCAUAGGAUAAACACUUAUUUACUUCCAUAUUUUAUCAUACUUCGUGCAGCUUAAAACGUACGAAAUACUAAAUGUAUUUGUUAACUGUUUGCACCCUUAACCCUUAAGAGCGCCACCUUCCUUUUGCAACAACAAUUAACAAUAUCUUGCACAUACACCUUUCCUAUAAUAUUUAUGUAUGUUUACCCCGUCAGUUUGCAUUUUAGUAUGGCAAUAAAGCAAGUUUUGAGUAUUUUUCUUUCACCUCAUAAAGCAAAUAAAAAAUGGGAAGGAAAGGUAUUUAUAUGAUUCCACGUAGGUAAGGGUUAACUCACAACUUACAACUGUAAAUGUGGCUAGAAGCGUAGUACAAAUUCCGACGUUGAAGGUAAAUAUUUGUGUAUAUUUGUAUAGCAAACUGUUAAGUGCUUAAACACGCAAACUAAAUGAAUAAAUUUAUAAAUUAAGUAUAUUUUUAUAUGUAAGAGGAAAAAGUUAUACAUAAACUAACUACUACUAGGUUCUUAGAAAUUUAAUUAAGUUAC